rnacentral:rRNA from 1 species
UAGGGAAUCUUCGGCAAUGGACGGAAGUCUGACCGAGCAACGCCGCGUGAGUGAAGAAGGUUUUCGGAUCGUAAAGCUCUGUUGUAAGAGAAGAACGAGUGUGAGAGUGGAAAGUUCACACUGUGACGGUAUCUUACCAGAAAGGGACGGCUAACUACGUGCCAGCAGCCGCGGUAAUACGUAGGUCCCGAGCGUUGUCCGGAUUUAUUGGUCGUAAAGCGAGCGCAGGCGGUUAGAUAAGUCUGAAGUUAAAGGCUGUGGCUUAACCAUAGUAGGCUUUGGAAACUGUUUAACUUGAGUGCAAGAGGGGAGAGUGGAAUUCCAUGUGUAGCGGUGAAAUGCGUAGAUAUAUGGAGGAACACCGGUGGCGAAAGCGGCUCUCUGGCUUGUAACUGACGCUGAGGCUCGAAAGCGUGGGGAGCAAACAGGAUUAGAUACCCUGGUAGUCCACGCUGUAAACGAUGAGUGCUAGGUGUUAGACCCUUUCCGGGGUUUAGUGCCGUAGCUAACGCAUUAAGCACUCCGCCUGGGGAGUACGACCGCAAGGUUG